rnacentral:rRNA from 1 species
GACGAACGCUGGCGGCGUGCUUAACACAUGCAAGUCGAACGGAAAGGCCCUGCUUUUGUGGGGUGCUCGAGUGGCGAACGGGUGAGUAACACGUGAGUAACCUGCCCUUGACUUUGGGAUAACUUCAGGAAACUGGGGCUAAUACCGGAUAGGAGCUCCUGCUGCAUAGUGGGGGUUGGAAAGUUUCGGCGGCUGGGGAUGGACUCGCGGCUUAUCAGCUUGUUGGUGGGGUAGUGGCUUACCAAGGCUUUGACGGGUAGCCGGCCUGAGAGGGUGACCGGCCACAUUGGGACUGAGAUACGGCCCAGACUCCUACGGGAGGCAGCAGUGGGGAAUAUUGCACAAUGGGCGGAAGCCUGAUGCAGCAACGCCGCGUGCGGGAUGACGGCCUUCGGGUUGUAAACCGCUUUCGCCUGUGACGAAGCGUGAGUGACGGUAAUGGGUAAAGAAGCACCGGCUAACUACGUG